GCCGGUUUAGCUCAGUUGGUAGAGCAACGCAUUCGUAAUGCGUGGGUCGGGGGUUCAAAUCCCUUAACCGGCACCA
rnacentral:tRNA from 1 species